rnacentral:rRNA from 1 species
GCAAAACGCGAAGAACCUUACCAAGGUUUGACAUACACCGGAAACGCCCAGAGAUGGGUGCCUCCUUUUGGACUGGUGUACAGGUGGUGCAUGGCUGUCGUCAGCUCGUGUCGUGAGAUGUUGGGUUAAGUCCCGCAACGAGCGCAACCCUUGUUCCAUGUUGCCAGCACGCCCGUUUGGGUGGUGGGGACUCAUGGGAGACUGCCGGGGUCAACUCGGAGGAAGGUGGGGAUGACGUCAAGUCAUCAUGCCCCUUAUGUCUUGGGCUGCAAACAUGCUACAAUGGUCGGUACAGAGGGUUGCGAUACCGUGAGGUGGAGCGAAUCCCUAAAAGCCGGUCUCAGUUCGGAUUGGGGUCUGCAACUCGACCCCAUGAAGUCGGAGUCGCUAGUAAUCGCAGAUCAGCAACGCUGCGGUGAAUACGUUCCCGGGUC